rnacentral:lncRNA from 10 species
GGGCUCCACUAAGCAUUUCUUGAAGGACUGAUAUGGGGUGAUGAAUUUCUUCAGCUUUUGCUUGUCUUGGAAAGACUUUAUUUCUUCUUUAUUUAUGAAGGAUAAUGUUGCUGGGUAUACUAUCUGUGACAGUCUGGUUUGGUUUUUUUUUUCCAGCACUUUGAAUAUAUUAAUCCAUUCUCUUGUGUCCUGUAAGAUUUCUGCUGAGAAAUGCCCUGUUAGUGUGAUGGGAGGUCCCGCAUAAUUAAUACAAAAUAUUUGUGGACAUUUACCACCCAAUGGUGGGCAGGGGGAGCGCAUGCUGAAACAAUAUUAGCAUCUGCCUCAAAAAUGAAUCGUUAUUUUAAGAAGAUUAUGUCUGAAGACCACAAUUUAAUAGAUUUACAUUGAUCAUCCACUAUGUUCCAGAUACUACAUGAUACUAACAAGACAACAGGAGAAGUGAUAUCAAAAGACAACGACUACACCAAAAUUUGGAGAAAAAGGUGAAUCCAGACAGUCACAGGUGAGAUCUGCCGACCUGGAGCAGAGCUGCUAGAUCCAUAAGCUGGGACGUGGAUGAAGCUGGAGGCAUUAUCCUUGGCAAACUUACACAGGAGCAGAAAACCAAAUACCACAUGUUCUCACCUGUAAGUGGGAGCUAAAUUAUGAGAACAUGUAGACACAUAGAGAGGAACAACACACACUGGGGCCUAUUGGAACGUGGAGGGUGGGAGGAGGGAGAGGAUCAAGAAAAACAUUUAGUGGGUACUAGACUUAAUACCUGGAUGAUGAAAUAAUCUGUACAACAAACCUCCAUGACACCCAUUUACCUGUGUAACAAACCUGCACAUGUAUUCCUGAACUUGAAAUAAAAGUUUUUUUAAGUGUAACUUACCAUUUUAAAAAAUAGUAUUUUUAA